rnacentral:rRNA from 1 species
AACAAACGCUGGCGGCGUGCCUAAUACAUGUAAGUCGAACUGGGAAGGCUUUCGGGUGACGACUGGUUGAGCACGGGUGAGUCACGCGUGGAUAAUCGGCCUUAGAGUGGGGGUUAACUACUCGAAAGACUAGGUGAUAAAGCAUAAUCCCGCAAUAACUGCGAUUCACGGGGUCAAAGGUUUUACCCUCAAAGAUGAGUCCGCGUAAGAUUAGCUAUUUGGUAGGGUAACGGCCUACCAAGGCGACGAUCUUUAACUGGUCUGAGAGGAUGAUCAGUCACACUGGAACUGAGACACGGUCCAGACUCCUACGGGAGGCAGCAGUAGGGAAUAUUGCACAAUGGAGGAAACUCUGAUGCAGCGACGCCGCGUGAGUGAUGAAGGCCUUCGGGUCGUAAAGCUCUGUCGCAGGGGAAUAACACAAUGAAGGUACCCUGGAAGAAAGGAUCGGCUAACUUCGUGCCAGCCGCCGCCGUAAUAC